rfam:Glycine soja cultivar W05 scaffold1507_44, whole genome shotgun sequence.
GAACUGUGAUGAUAAUUGCCAGUGAUUGUAGGGUCAAUCACUCUCAUCUCUUAAGUUAGAUGAAAUGUGCAUCUGAGAUC